AAGGGCUAGUGCAUUUCAUGCUGCUGGCCCCCAUGCUUGCUGCUGUCCUCCAGAUUUUUUCCAUCCAAUUUGGGCACUCCAGGAAGAAUUUGCUGCAUCACAAGCUGGAAGCACUGAGAAGUUCGGAGCUGCUUUCCUGAAAACCAACAUUUUUUGUUGCCUUCUGCCCAAGUAAUCCAGUAACCAAUCCAGGAGCCUUUAUUUCCCCAUUUGACAUCUUACACUGGCAAGGAAAGCUGAAAUCCCUUGAAAUUCAGAAUGCUGAGAAGUGAAUGUGAGACAGACUACUCUGUUUUCAUUUCCCAAGCGUUGGCAUUUACUCUUCCUGGACUGGAUCAGCACGAGUCCCUCAGAACAUGCCCAGGAUUCCUGUUCCUGAGGGCUCCACGACACAGGAUCUUCUCUUGCUGAGAAGGAACCCUGCUGGAGAAGGCUUCACAUCCAGGCUGUCACUGCAGCUCCUGCCAG